AUGGCAUGGUGGCUGGAUUCCAAGGCACAUGUCCCAAGUAAACAAGGUAGAAAUACAUUCAUGAUCUAGCCUCAGAAGUCACAUAACAUGACUCAGGCUGGGUUCUGUUGGUCAGAUAAUUUACUACAGGUUCUGAGAUUCAAGGUGAGUGGGCAUACCCUCUUACUCUUGGUGGGGAGUGCAAAAUUCUAGAUCAUCUAGGAUGGGAAACAUUGUGGUCAUCUUUGGAGAAUAUAGUAUGUUGUGUCUUAGUCCAUUUGGGCUGCUAUAACAAACUGCCAUGGAUUGUGUGGCAUAUUUACAGUAGAAAUUUAUUUCUCUGGAGCUGGCUAAUUCCAAGAUCAGGAUUGGGAGAGGACCCACUUCCCUGGUUCACGGACAGCCAUCUCCUCACUGUAACUUCGUGUGUGGCAGGGUGAGGGAGCAUUCUAAGGCCUCUUUUAUAAAAGUGCUAAUCCCUUAUGAGGGUUCUGCUUUCAUGACCUAAUCACCUCCAAAGGUCCCAUUUCUAAAUACCCUCACAUGGAGGAUUAGGCCUCAAGACAUGACAGGGUCAGGGGGUGGAUGUAAACAUUCAGUUUGGAGUUCCUGUCGUGGCUCAGUGGUUAAUGAAUCCAACUAGGAUCCAUGAGGUUGUGGGUUCGAUCCCCGGCCUUGCUCAGUGGGUUAAGGAUCUGGCGUUGCUGUGAGCUGUGGUGUAGGUCACAGACACAGCUUGGAUCCCAUGUUGCCGUGGCUGUGGUGUAGGCUGGUGGCUACAGUUCCGAUUAGACCCCUAGGCUGGGAACUUCCAUAUGCCACUGGUGUGGCCCUAGAAAAGACAAAAAACAAAAACAAAAACAUUGUUUAUAGCAUGCUGCACUAACGUUUUGUUUUCUAGGAACAUUCCAUUUAAUAGUUUUUCUUGUUACAUUCACUAAUGCAUUCCCAAGCCACCCAUUGAAGCUGUUAGUUUUUUUCUCAGUACCUUGGAACACUUGGGGUAAUUGCUUCCUCCCACUUUUUUUUUUUUUUUUUUUUUUUUUUUUCCCUUUUUUUGNAGCCACAGCAACUCCGGACCCAAGCUGCGUCUGCAACCUACACCAGAGCAACGCCAGAUCCUUAACUCAUUGAGCAAGGCCAGGGAUCAAACCCAUAACCUCAUGUUUCCUAGUUGGAUUCGCUAACCACUGAGCCAUGAUGGGAACUCCCUCCCACUCUUUUUGAGGCCUUCAUGCCAGUGCCUUCAGUCCUCUUUGCCAGUGUAGACUGGUUGCUCUGUAUACCUGUUACACAGCUGUUGUUCCAAGUUCUUGCUUCUCCAUCAUUCUGGGAAUUCUGUUCACUUAUUUUUGCACUGAAUCCCUCAUUUUCUGGACCCAGUGCUUCCGAUUGUUGCUUUAUUCUCCCGUUUUGGUGACGUAUAUCACUCAGAAGUCUCCUGAGAAAGGGUGUAUUGUGGGAUGUAUGUGGCCCCCAAGCUUAUGUGUACAGCCUAAGCCUCAGAAUCAGUGAAUAUUUCCUGAUUUGGAAAAAAAAAAAAAUGGGUCUUGGCACAUAUGACUAAGUUACAGAUCUAAGAUGAGGUUAUCCUUAACUUUCUAGGUCCAAAGUCAAGUGAGAAAUGUUCUUCUCAAAGACAGAAGAGGAGAAAAAAAUGUUCUUCUCAAAGACAGAAGAGGAGAAGACAAAGGAACAGAGAAGAGGACCUUGUGAAGAUGGAGGAAGAAACUGGAGAGAUGCAGCCAGAAGGAAUAUUGACGGCCAAGAGGAGCUGGAAGAAACAAGGAAGGAUUCUCCCUGAGAGCCUCCAGAAGGAGUGUGGCCUGCUGAUACCUCAGUUUCACACUUCUGACUUGCAGAAUUGCAAGAGAAUACAUUUCUGUUCUUCGAAGCCACCAGGAUCUGGAAAGAUUUAAUGUGGUAAUUUGAAGACCAUCUCAGGGCUUCUACAAAACUUAAGUGUCUUGUUCCAACCUGACAAGCCCAAAGUAAAAAGAGAGUUCUGUUUUUAAAAAGAAUAAUCAAUGUGAAUUUUGGAGCAUGGAGUUAGCCUCAUUAAGAUUUAUAGAAAUCCAAAAGUUUUUGAGAAAAUUGGAUAUAAAUUUUAGAGCACGAAAUGAACCUCAGUAAGAUUUAUAGAAAACCUAUAAAAUGUUUUUUUCUUUUUUCAGCUACACCCGUGUUAUAUGGAGGUUCCCAGGCUAGGGGUUGAUUUGGGCCACAGCCACAGCAAUGCAGGAUCCGAGCCACGUCUUCCAUCUACACCACAGCUCAUGGCAACACCAGAUCCUUAACCCACUGUUCAAGGCCAGGGAUUGAACCCACAACCUUCUGGUUCGUAGUUGGAUUCGUUUCCGCUGCGCCAUGAUGGUAACUCCAAAAUCCUACAAAAUCUUAAGGAUAAUUGUAUGAAUGAAUGAGCUGUCAGGUUGCCAGUUCAAAAUGAAAAGACAUUUCUGGACAUUUGAGUUUCUACUGGCAUGAAAGAGAUUGAGAAAACUACUUAACUACAAAUAUGGACCAUUCCUUAAGGAAAGCCAUCUCAGAGAGUGGAGUCAAGAGUGGGGAGAAGCAAAGCCAAAAACUGAUGAGAUGAUGCAUUAAAACAAGAAUUGGCAAACUAGGGCCCAUAAAACCAAUCCAGGCUGUUGUUGCAUAAGCCCACAUGCUAAGAGACCUGGCAACUUUAGCUUUUGUUUCUUGAGAGCCACCUGCCAUUACUAUCUGAUGUAAAGAGGAAAACCUGGCAGAUGAGUGUCCAAGGGACAGAGAGACCCAGCCUGCUCUCAGCCAUUCCAGCAACCCCAGUGGAGGCACCAGCCCAGUGAGUGAAAUUCCUUUCCAUCGUACCACUUCAGCUGAGCUGCCCCACCCAACAUCACGGAGUAGAGACAAGCUGUUCUGAGUCCUGUCCAAAUUACAAAACCAUGAGCAAAUAAAUGGUUGUUUAUGUUUG
rnacentral:lncRNA from 1 species